AAGACUAUACUUUCAGGGAUCAUUUCUAUAGUUUAUUAUUAUGGAGUACAUUAUAAUAUUUUAUUAUUGUAACUAGGACCACACAUGUAACCGCAUUUUCUAAUACACUGUUGCUAGU
rnacentral:snoRNA from 1 species